UGCAAUCAGGAGUUUGUUUAAUCUAAUUUACCUGCGAUUAUUAACUUCUGGUACACUGCAAUGGGGAUUAGCAGGUGUAAUUUUAGUCCAAUCAAGUGGACUAAACCUGUUAAAUCCACUAGUUAAACACAUCAGUGGACUACAUUUUUUACGAUGCAAUUGACCCACAGUGCGUCAAUUUAUAUCUGUAUCGGUACCUAAUUACCAACUCAUUGACAAUUGUCGCUGAGUGACACCUGCAUCAUCAAGGUUGGUUGAUAACAUUUGUAUGCCGCUGGACGGAUUCAAGCUUAUUCACAGAUCUGGGAACAAGUCAGUGCAUUGACUGACAGAGCUCAGCACAGGAACACAAGCCCGGGUGUCCCAGAAGCAACACAGAGAACUAAACAAGCAGACAGCUGGGAUGUAGGCCUACGUGCUGAUUCUGGAAAACAAUGUUUGAGAAUCACUGUCUUGGAAACAGCUGUAUUUCCUUUAUCCAACAAUUAGCUGCUAAUCUCACAUCAAAUCCCAACGGGACAAACAAGGCUUUCAUUGAGACGGUAUUUAGUUUCAGUUCGCAUAUGGAACAGAAAUUAGGCGCAAAUUAAAGUCCUCGUCAUUGGGAGAGAAAAAAAAGACGCAUGCGCUGAUUACAUUUAACCCAUCACUGUUGAAGCUAAGCCGGUAGAAGUCGUCUCCGAGGGCUGGAGAAUCACAUUGAUUCUUGGUGGCGAGAAACUCACCAAUGGGUGUAUCUGUUUAGAAGUGAUUGAAUCACGUCACAAACAUCAUAUAGUGCUCUGAUUUGGUUAACCUGACCCACUUUAAAAAAGACGCUUAGCACGUGACGUGAUAAAGGCGGAAUGAAGCAGGUUUGCCGAGGAGACCUAUUGUUUAAAGUUGUUUUGGGAACCCAAAAAGGAGACUGUGAGGAGACCGGGUGAGCUGUAGCCGUUGCACAGAUACCGAUCUCAGCCCUUCCUCAGAGAAACUCUGUCAGUGAAGUGGUGAGGUCCCUCCUCAGGCAUCGCCACACUGUCACCUGCUCUAUUUACCUUCAUCAAUCUUGACACCAGUGGGGAUGUAUGCGUUUUCAAACAAAGGG